UAAAACAGAAGAAUAUCAUUCAUUUGGUAACAAACAGCCUAAUGUUUACAAAACUCUUUUGUAUCUGACAACUGAUGGACUCUUAAAAAACAAACAAAACAGUGAAUAAAACCAACAAAUAAUCAGAUACAUCUGAGCAGAUGAAUAGUUUAAACUCAAGUGCCAUCAAGAAGUUUUUAACUUACUACUUAGACACUUUCACAGAUACAACUAAUGGACCCCUCUCACCAGCUUAUUAGUGAGAUGCAGUUGAGUAGGAGCUGAAAUAAAAAAAAACACCUUUGCUAAACUAGAGAAAUUAAUGCGAGAAUGGUGUCAGUGCUCCCCGCGGACUCAGCUGGGAUGUUUUUUAGUCAAAACAGCAAACCAGCUUUAGGUUUGUCUGAAUGGAAUCCGGAAAGCUGUAAUCAUGCCUUUAAAUGCAGGCUUUGACUUUCUCACUGGACCACAUAUUGUAACUCAGAUGAAAUUAUUUAUUAAAUAACACUUGAUAGAGUUAACCAUGUGAAGACAGUGCAACUUAAAUCACUGUUUUUCCUCAAGCACCAGUAUUUAAAACUGAACACUCAACAGCAAAACAGAGAAGCAUCAAACCAUCUGAAGAUAUUUUACAACUGAAAUUACAUUCACAGAAAAGUGGGGCAAUCAAGUAGUCAACAAAAAUUUUAAAAGCAACCUGAUAACCAAUCAAAUGAAAAAAGGCUUGAAAAACUAGUCAAAAUUGAGGGUAAGAGAGUCCUGAAUGGCUUGCCUAAGUAAGAUUACACUAGAAAAAGAAUGCAGUUGUUGAUAGGAAUGCUGAAGGUUUUGCAGAGCUUUCCUUUGACUAGAGUUCCAUUACCAAAACACCUGCAUAUAAAAAUAAGGCAUCAGGUCUUUUUGUUCUCAGCUACAGUACAGUGGCCUAAGUUCUACAACACCUAAGACUGUAUAUACUUCUAACUCCCUCCCCCAUAUAUUUAAGCCAAACUCUGAUGAUUAGAUGUAAUUCCUGCAAUGCUAAACUAACUCAAAUGUUUCCUUACCUCAACUUAAGAUAUUUUUAUAUAUAUAUUUCUCCUAAGAAAGUGGAAAACACACAUACUGAAGUGAAGCAAGUUUUACAUUCUGCAAGAAAUCUGUCCCCCUUAAACUCAGCAUCAGCUUCAUCAUGAACUAAAACCACAGCAAGAUUUCCCUCAUUUGCUAAGAUGGGUUCAUAGAGCUUCCUACACAAAUGCAGUAAGUUGAAAAGAAAAAUGGUGUGUGUACAAUAUACCCUACCUAAUAAUGAACUCAUGACCUCUCCUUACAUAUUUCAUGAUGUUUUGAUAUUUAAAUGCAAGUAAAGCUAAGCACUUUCACAUUCCUGCACAAUGCUCUCUAGAAGUUAAUGAGAAUUUUGGCUGAAUACAGACAAAAGUGGAUUUUAUUCUUUGCAUUUAUAGUAUUUAUUUAUAAAGAAAAAACACGGCCAUUCCUGGGGGAAAAUGUUCUUUACCAAGCUCAUUUCCUUGUUCCAAAAAAGUGGUUUGGUUAUUUGAUUUGUGGGGUUUUUUUGUAUAAAACAUCUCCAGAAUAAAUCCACUUACACCAGUCUGGGAUGUAUCAUCCUUAAUAUUAGCUAAUGAGUUUCACAGCAAUGACCCAACAUACAACAGAAAAGUCUUGAAUUGUUUCAUUAGCACACACAGUGCCCAGCACACUGCAGGACACCCUGUAGAAGCUGAAAGAGCUUUGCUGUAAGCAAAAUGUGCUUUCAGCAGAAUUUAUUCUGGAGAGCCAGAAAAGUAGUUUUGUAAAUUAUUCCAGGAAACACAGGGUUCAGAGUGCAAUUUACCUAGAACUGUCAUGGUAAAAACUAACCAGAAGGAUAAAACAUGAGUGAAGAGGUCUCAAAUUUUCUUCCCAGUUCUCUUAAAAUAGAUUCUUAACACCUGUGACACGAAUUUCAUCAGUCCCAGUUUAUAAAUGUGGCACAAUGGAUUUUUUUUUUUUAAAUGCUCAUGCUUAUCAGACAUUCACGAUAAUGAUGAAAAAAUGCUUAGCUCUAUAUAUGGCUUUUUAUUACUAGUCAAGUUAAUUUCAAAUUAAGACAUGCAUAUAUAUGCAUACCUAGAUUAUACACAGUUUGAACCUAACAAGAUAACUUCAGAGGAUUGGGGGGUUUGUUUUUAACAUUAAAGGUCCAUCUUUAGACAUCCAAUGUUCAUUCCACAGAACAACUACAAUCCUGAAAGUUUCCAUGUAGUUUUAAGUAACACCUUCUAGUUAACAAGUGAAUGGUCGUAGUAAGAGUAAGCCCAGUCAAAAAAAACAACAACACUAGUUUAUUAAAAAACCCCACAAAGUAUUCACCUUACAAUUGCAAUAGCUUAAGCAUCAGUAAAAUAUAACUGUUUCCUCAGAAAACUAUUUAUCAGUACAAAUUUUAAAACAACGCCAUACUGUUGAUCACAAGAAAGUAAACAGCUGAAUGUUUUUCCACAUCACACAAUUUUAAUACAAAGUGCUGUCAGCAGGCAACUCUACUAGAUACGGCAUAAGAUCAUUAAGCACAAUAAAACAUAUAAGUCACAGGCCCCUUAAUGGAACUGUUGUAUAAACAUCCUUAUUACAGAACUAACAGCAUAAAAACUGUUGUAAUUACUUCCAGGUACUACCUAGUAUCAUAUAGGAGGUAGCUGAAAAUUUUAUACUGAAAUAGACAUUGUUUUUAUAUAGAACAUAAACAUUGAUUAAAAAAAGGUUACACAUCCACAUUUAUCUCAUAGAAUACGACUUGGUUAUUUUACAAGAACUGCAUAGUUUAUCCCCUGCAGCAAAUAAAAUGCAAAAUGUAAUUACUAUUAUCUUCUGUUCCCUUUUCCUUACAUAGCCUAUGCCUUCAGCAUUUGAUUUUUUUUGUUUGUUUGUUUAUAAAAUUAAUCACAGCUAGCAGGGUGGAAAUCACUUUGAGCCUCAUGAAUGACAUCCAAGAGAUGGAAAAGGAUUAGUUCUCAGUUGCUGCCAGUUAUAGCACCAGGUGGCUUUUUCUUCAGUGAAGGUGUUACCGAUAAUCCCAUUACAUUGGUACUAAAUCUUGCAGACAUCAAAAUUAUCACCAAGGUUCCUUUUCAUCCCAUCCUUUCCAAAUGACUGGAAGUCGCUUCACCUGAAAGAAGUCAAAUCCACAUGCAGCUGCUGUUUUAGCAGCCAGCAGACUCCCUGAGAAUGCCAAUCGUGAUCCAAUUUCGCUGUGCUGGUGGCCCCCUAUUCCCUGUCCAAUAAUACAUCUGUUAAAAAAUCCUACAGCUACAAAUCAAGUUUAAUCCUACCAGGGACCUCAUGUUGGUCUUGUCUUCCAAAAAGGCAGCAGGUUUUGCCAUCUAUCUCUGCUAGUGUCUGGGGAAUACUCUUUAAAUCCCAGCCCUACUUAGAAGAAUAAGCUAAGGAUCACAAAACAUGACCUCAAAAACCCUGAUAUGACUAUAUUCUGACCCAGAGGCAUUCAUUCUAGGUGAAGAUUAGAACUUUGCAUAAUAAGAUUACACAGCAAGUGAAUGAUAUCAAGGGACUAUCCAUAUGCAGCCGCCUGGUUUUCUAUAGACAGCCUGUGCUCUGCAAUAUGCAGUGCAGACGAAACAGAGCUUGGUCUUUCUAGCUGAAACAAAAUAGAUUCACAUAAAUUAGUUGGCCAUUUCCAGAUUCCUAAAUCCCCUAUUACAUCUUUUAUUGACAGCUCCUGUGAGGAUAGCACAAAUGGUAUUCUCUUUGUAUUCUUUGCUUGUGUAACAAUCACACUCUGAGGGAAACGUACAUAGGUUGUCUAGAAAUUAACAUCUUGUUCGCUGUAAUCUUGGAUUACAAUUAACUGUGUACGUAAUAAAAUUAGGAAAUCAAUGAGCAGAUUUAUCAUCUCCAGAUAACCAAUGGCAUUGUGUAAAGCAGUUUAACAUAUGGUGCCAAAAUUUUAAAUACAUGAAAAUUGAAGUCACAGCCAAUGAAAGUGUGGCUAAGCAAGUUAUCGGACUUAAUAUUAAAUAUAUUUUUCACUACAAAAAAAAAAUUUUUUUUUGUUUUAUGUAAUGCUUCCUAAUUCUGAAUUUUCACUGAAUAUUUAGUGAUAGUUUAUCAGUUUUAUCCUUACCUAAGAAACUCUUCUCCUAACAUUCUCUGCUUCUAACCAGAUACCUUUCUUCACUCAAGGUAAUUCCAUAACUUGCACCAUCUCUUUCCCAAAGAACUACUCAGAUUAUAACUUUAAAAAAAAAGUCAAAAGCCCAAAACAAAGAAAACUGCACACUGAUUAGGCCAUUUCAAAAUUUAUGUUUGCGCUGUUAUUUAUAUUAAACUAUUCUUCUCCAGCUUCUGCAUGAAAUUAGUUACCUGUGCUAGAAUAGUGAAGGAUGUAUAUCACAUUUAUUGGGAUAGAUUCUUCCCACAUCAGAUACACAAUUUAAUAAAUAUAAAAUGUUUUAAAUAUUCUAGUUAUAAUCUGAGGAUUCCGAACAUCUAAAGCAAAAUAAGGAAAAAUUUUCAAAAAGUCUUUCUGUGCAGGGGCCAGGCAGAACUUGAUUUGUAUUUCUAGCUGUUGGUUUUCUCUAGAAGAAACACCGGAUUCAGUCUGGCAAAUCUGAAAAACCUUGGUGAUGUUCUAGAAGAGAAGAUAUUUUUCCACAUUAUCUCUGCUAGACACUGACAGUUUGUCUUCAAUGAGUGCUCCUUCAUCUACUGAUCUCAAGCUGACAAUGAGCUCAGUCCUGUAGACAUAAAUUCACAUAAUGCAAUCCUCCCUCUGGUGUUAAACGACUAGAGACUACCUACCUAAGAAUAAGCAAUUUUUCAAAACAGAUUUCAAGUAGAUCUCACUGGUUCUAUUUACUGCUGGGAAGCAACUCCUAACAAUCCCACAACCCUGUAUAAAAUGCUGUAUUAAUGGUCAGAUGCAUUCCAGGGCUUCUAUCUUCCUCUGCAGCUCUAUACACUCAUGUUUGCUGAACAGCAAAAUCCAAAUAGCUGAGCAAAGGCAUGGUCGUACGUGGCAAAUGUGAGCCUCUGAGGGAUGCUGAAAUAUUCACUGAACAGUUUCCUGUAACAAUGUCAGAAUUAGGACAAACGCCAGAGGUCGGACAGACAGCAUAGUCUCUUUCCUGGUGACUGAGAAAAAUGUACCGUGUCUAUGUGACAACAGUUAAAUAACCAUAUUCUGAGCUAUUUGCUUUUAUCUUAAAUUUAAAAAAAAUCACUUGCAUAGACAUGUGCAAAUUUAAAAUUUAUUUUAAUUAACUAUGACAGUUACAAGUCCAAUUUUCACACAAGGCACUUUAAAACUACAACCCUACAGAAACUAAAGUUGACCAUGGCUCACAUGUCCCCUGCACUUCCCAGUGCUGACACACUUUCUAGAAAUAUGCAAGUACUUCUGGAAAUACUACUCAAAGCAGUGAAUAGAACAGGGGUAAAUAAUUCCCCUACGCACUGACAAGUUAAAAGGCUGUUUACUUAAAAUAGUUGUCAUUACAAGGAGGAUUAUUUGCUGGUAAAAGAGCAAAACCAACAAAAAAACACUAAACAAA